rnacentral:misc_RNA from 1 species
CAAAUGCGAUAAGCAAUGCGAAUUGCAGAAUUCCGCGAGUCAUCAGAUCUUUGAACGCAAGUGGCGCUGGGAUAACCAAUACCCCAGCAUGUUUGUUUCAGUGUAUUCGGAAUCAUAAAACUUAAUGCGGUUGAGGCUUCUCUUUUGGAGUUUCUCCCGUUAAACACGAAAGCGCUGAAUCGUUCAGUGCCGACUGAAGUAGUCACUUCUCGCAAGUGAUCUCGGUUGGCUUAACUGAAGAUUCACUUAAAGCGCUUUUUAAAUUAUAAUUUCUCCAUUCAAUACCUGAAAUCAAGCAAGAUCACCCACUGAACUUAA